GUGGCUGUAGCUCAGUGAUAAGGUACUUGCCUCACAAGCAUGAGACCCUGGGUUCAAGCCCCAUGCCACCUCU
rnacentral:tRNA from 1 species